CAAGUUAUAGCUUAAUUAUAAGCUUAUUAUUUACACUAAUAUGAUUUUUGUGAAAUUCAAUAUAGCUUGA
rnacentral:tRNA from 1 species